CGCCCUGGUGGAGGCGGGACUUCCGGCCCGGCACUUCCGGCGGGAGGGAAGCGCGCGGUGGCUGGCGGUGCGAUCGGUUGUUGAAUCGCAGGGUCGCGGCCCCGGCGGCUGGUUCCCACGGCCAGGCCUCCGCCGGCCGGCCUUCCGCGUGGGUGCGGGGCUCGUUGUCACGUGGGAGCCCGGGUGAACUUGAACUCGUGCACCCCCCCGGAGGCCCAAGCCAGGGAGCGUGUCCCGGUGGCAGUCACGAAGCAGAGCUGAGAAUGUAAUUCCUGGAGUUGAAGCAGCCAUGCAGCUCUCAGUGGACAAGCAAUGCUUUUCAUGCAUGAAGAAGAGAUCAGAAUGGGAAAAAGCAGCCAGUUUCUUAAAAUCGGUUAGUCACUGCACUGCAUCAGGACUGUACAUUUCAGACAUAUUGCCAUACCAUAUAAUUUCCUGCUCCUUGCAUCCUGGUUGAAACAAUCGGUGAUAGCACAAGGCCUGCAGAGGAUAGAUGAUGUGGACGAACAACUAGAAUCAUUUCAACUAUCCCAAAAGGAUACCAUGCUGCAGAGAAAUGGAGCAAAUUGAAACGUAGUACCUGGAGCUCUGUUGUUCAUUGUUGUUCUUGAGAUGAGAUAUCUCUGCAGCCCAGGUUGCAGGCUUCCAAGUGCCACCACUACUCCUGGUCAGUGGCUAUUUCUAAUACAACAACAACAAAAUCUACAAUACUUUAAAUAAUGCAAAAUAAAAGCCAUUUGUAUAGUUUCA